UACGUAGGGUGCGAGCGUUGUCCGGAAUUAUUGGGCGUAAAGGGCUCGUAGGCGGUCUGUUGCGUCGGGAGUGAAAACUCAGGGCUUAACCCUGAGCCUGCUUCCGAUACGGGCAGACUAGAGGUAUGCAGGGGAGAACGGAAUUCCUGGUGUAGCGGUGAAAUGCGCAGAUAUCAGGAGGAACACCGGUGGCGAAGGCGACUAUCUGGGCUGCAACUGACGCUGAGGCGCGAAGGCUAGGGUAGCAAACAGG
rnacentral:rRNA from 1 species